AUACGAAGGGAGCGAGCGUUGUCCGGAAUUACUGGGGGUAAAGGGAGCGUAGGCGGGAGUGCAAGGCAGAUGUGAAAUACAUGGGCCCAACGCGUGGGGUGCAUUUGAAACUGCGUUUCUUGAGUGAAGUAGAGGUAAGCGGAAUUCCCGGUGUAGGGGUGAAAUGGGUAGAAAUCUGGAGGAACACCGGUGGCGAAGGCGGCUUACUGGGCUUUUACUGACGCUGAGGCUCGAAAGCGUGGGGAGCAAACAGGAUUAGAUACCCUGGUAGUCCCCGCUGUAAACGAUGAUUACUAGGUGUGGGGGGUCUGACCCCUUCCGUGCCGCAGUUAACACAAUAAGUAAUCCGCCUGGGGAGUACGGCCGCAAGGUUGAAACUCAAAUGAAUUGACGGGG
rnacentral:rRNA from 1 species